CACAAGCAGCGGAGCAUGUGGUUUAAUUCGAAGCAACGCGAAGAACCUUACCUAGACUUGACAUCUCCUGAAAUUACUCUGUAAUGGAGGAAGCCACUUCGGUGGCAGGAAGACAGGUGGUGCAUGGUUGUCGUCAGCUCGUGUCGUGAGAUGUUGGGUUAAGUCUCGCAACGAGCGCAACCCUUAUUGUUAGUUGCUACCAUUUAGUUGAGCACUCUAGCGAGACUGCCCGGGUUAACCGGGAGGAAGGUGGGGAUGACGUCAAAUCAUCAUGCCCCUUAUGUCUAGGGCUACACACGUGCUACAAUGGUCGGUACAAUGAGAUGCAACCUCGCGAGAGUGAGCAAAACUAUAAAACCGAUCUCAGUUCGGAUUGUAGGCUGAAACUCGCCUACAUGAAGCUGGAGUUGCUAGUAAUCGCGAAUCAGAAUGUCGCGGUGAAUACGUUCCCGGGCCUU
rnacentral:rRNA from 1 species